UACGUAGGGGGCAAGCGUUGUCCGGAUUCAUUGGGCGUAAAGAGCGUGUAGGCGGCCAGGUAGGUCGGUUGUGAAAACUGGAGGCUCAACCUUCAGAGGUCGACCGAAACCAUCUGGCUAGAGUCCGGGAGAGGAGAGUGGGAAUUCCUGGUGUAGCGGUGAAAUGACGCAGAUAUCAGGAAGAACACCCGUGGCGAAAGCGGCUCUCUGGAACGGUACUGACGCUGAGACGCGAAAGCGUGGGGGAGCGAAACAGG
rnacentral:rRNA from 1 species